UACGUACCGUCCAAACGUUAUUCGGAAUUACUGGGGUUUAAAGGGUACGUAGGCGGCGCUGUUAGUCGGGUGUGAAAGCCCUCGGCUCAACCGAGGAAUUGCGCCCGAUACUGCAGUGCUUGAGGGAGACAGAGGUAAGCGGAACUGAUGGUGGAGCGGUGAAAUGCGUUGAUAUCAUCAGGAACACCAGUGGCGAAAGCGGCUUACUGGGUCUCUUCUGACGCUGAGGUACGAAAGCCAGGGGAGCGAAGGGG
rnacentral:rRNA from 1 species